rnacentral:rRNA from 1 species
AGUGAACGCUGGCGGUAGGCCUAACACAUGCAAGUCGAACGGCAGCACAGUAAGAGCUUGCUCUUACAGGUGGCGAGUGGCGGACGGGUGAGGAAUACAUCGGAAUCUACUUUUUCGUGGGGGAUAACGUAGGGAAACUUACGCUAAUACCGCAUACGACCUACGGGUGAAAGCAGGGGAUCCUCGGACCUUGCGCGAUUGAAUGAGCCGAUGUCGGAUUAGCUAGUUGGCGGGGUAAAGGCCCACCAAGGCGACGAUCCGUAGCUGGUCUGAGAGGAUGAUCAGCCACACUGGAACUGAGACACGGUCCAGACUCCUACGGGAGGCAGCAGUGGGGAAUAUUGGACAAUGGGCGCAAGCCUGAUCCAGCCAUACCGCGUGGGUGAAGAAGGCCUUCGGGUUGUAAAGCCCUUUUGUUGGGAAAGAAAAGCAGCAGGUUAAUACCCCGCUGUUCUGACGGUACCCAAAGAAUAAGCACCGGCUAACUUCGUG